rnacentral:rRNA from 1 species
AUGCCAAACGGAGGCCGAUUUCCGAGGAAGCUCACUGAGACCAGCAGUGACUCUGGCGCAAACGUCAAACGCCUUGAGCAAGAGACGAACAUAAAGAUCGAAAAGCUGAAGCAGCAGGCAACAAACAUCUCUCUAGAGGUGAUUCAGAUGCCUCUGAGGUGCUGGAACAUGCUCCCGUUUUCCUGA